rnacentral:lncRNA from 10 species
CUUUUGGCACAAGUAUUCAUUAUUAAUGGAAAUGCAUAGUAUUAUCUCAGCAAAUGUACAAAUAGUUUAGCUUCACUAAACUAGUCAAUUUUUUUUUUCUAAACAUCAAUGCUUAGGAAGCAAAACAGGCUGGGGGAACAGUAGUUGUACUGGUGGCAGCUGUGGUGCUGAUGGAGGAAGUGGUGGAAUGCAUAGGCUGCUCAUGCUUUUUGCCACAAUGAAGGUCAAAAAGUAGAUCACUUAAAGUCUAAAGUUAACCUUGGGGGUCAUAUUCUUCACCAAAAACUAUGUUUAUACAUAUAGACUUAGCAGUAUGCUAUAAAAGUGAAGAUAUAGCACUAUAAAAUUCCACCAUAAAGUAAAUUGUUCAAGAUUGUGGUCCAAGCUCUUCAAAAUGCUCAUAAAUCAGAAGGUGUAUUUAUUAAACAAUAUUUUAUAUGUACCUAUAAUAAUACAAUACUAUACUACACAAAUUGGACCUAAAAUGAAUUCUCUUGCUAUAUUAAAUAUUAAACAUUAAAUAGGCAGAAAUUUUGUUUGCACUGGACUUAGAAUAUAAGAAGAAAAUUUGGGACAACCUGAAUAGUUGAGGUCUCUUGAGAAACCCUUCAGCUUCUUUUCCUCCAAAUAAAUUUCUCUGUAGCAAAUGGAAGCCAUCCAAAUGAUUCCCUAGCUACCUCAAAGUACUGUAAUUUGUCUACUUCACAAAGUGGAGGACUAUAUCUAGCAAUAAUUCAAGAAAAAUGCAGUGACUCCCAUUAUAUCUUAGGCACUAUGCUAGGAAGUUUAUGCAUAUCAUUUUGUUUGAUUUUAAUAGCAACUUCAUGAAAUAAAUCAUCAUAAUAAAUCACUAUUUCAGAUAUUGAGAAACCACAGAAAGAGAGAAGUUAAAUAAUUUUCCUGUCAAAGACCACAUCAAUGAUGAAGCCAGAAUUUGAGCUCAUGUACUUAACCACUGGACUACCUGCCUGCCCUGUCGAGGAACAGCUAAGGUUGUCAUAGAGUCUUGACUGUGUAUAGAUAGUUGUUUGAAGAGAGAAAAAAGGCAGGAGGAUCUGGGGCAUAUGUUUAAAUCAGGCAUUGGCAUCUGUACUAGAAUUGAAAGGUGGAACUAUUAUUGUGUUCUAUUUAUUGAGUAUAGGUAUACCAUAUUCAAUGUAUUUCUCUGCUUCAUACACUAUCCAAGGUGAUAAAAGUGUUUAUGAAGAGGGAUUAGGAAAUAUCUGCUGUGUUUAGGUCAUAGUCCAACCAAAGGAUUAAUUAACAUUUGCCUCUUUUUUCUCCUACAUCCAGUGUCCCUUUUGAUGAGAAGAAUAAGCCUCAUUCUGAUUCAACAGCAGAGAUCAAAGAAAAGACUUCUGUUUUCUGGCCACCAGAUAUAUGUUAUCUGUGCUUAAAGAAUUGAAAAACACACAUCAAAGGAGAAUUUUCUUGGAAAGAGAGGGUUCAAGCAUCACUGUUAGGUGUGCUGGAAUCCUUUCCCGAGUCAGUACUGCUUUCUAGAAGAAAACCGGGGAGAUCUAUUUGGAAUGUAUCUAACUCCAAAGAAACCAUCAGAGGUAACAGGUAGGAGAUAUGAAACGACCUUUUAGAUAUGAACCCUAAUUGAAUAAAAGUUGCCAAACAACUGUUCCCAAACAUCUAAAGAAGAGUUUUAGUCUAAGUGGAAUGGCUGGAGAGUAUGGGAAGAGUUCUUUCCUACUCUGUCCAAACACAAGCCUCUGUGACAUUUAUCAAAGAAAUGCAGCCCUUUAAAUCUGGGUAUAAGUCCGAAAGGUGCUUUCCUUGUGAAGCUUCUUUUGUCCUCUGCUUUUAGGACUCUCUGCACACUGCAUCCUCUAUGUCACCCUCCAGUACAUCUGCUCUUACACAAGGGGCCCCACAGGGACUGGCCCACACACCAGCCAGGGCACAUGGGCCAACUUUUAACAGCAAAAGGAAAUGCUAAAUCCUAGAGUAGGGCAGAUGAGAAAAAUGGCAUUCUUCUUUAAGGGGCCCCCUGAGCUGAAAAUGAAAGAGACAUUUUGUUGCUUCUGCUACCUGCUUAUCGUCCAAUCCCAAUCUCAGAUUUUCUUUUUCUAUUUUUUAAACCCGAGUAGCACUUUUCCAACUAGUGUGUAGUUUUUCUUUCAAUUCUCUGCUCUUCACAGUAAUUAAACAAGAGCUAGCCUCCUUUUCCAAAUCUUGUUUUUGUAAUACCUUUAUUCCCAAAGAGUUAUGCUUAUAAGAGUAACAUAAAUGUGUUAAACUUGGUAUUGAUUUGAUGAUUUCAUAAACCCCAGACUCCUUGAAAUUCUGCAGGUUUUUGUGAAAGGACUUGCUUAAAAUCUUUGCUAAUCUACCUGAAUUUUCUUCCAAAGGCAGUUAUAUACAAUGUUUCUUAAAACUAAUUCUCCAAAUUUGCAAUUUGGCAGCAUCCUACUGGGACUCUAGAAGGCUGAUAAAUCAUGGAGAGUAGGUAUUCAUAUAGGAACUAUGAAAGCUGUAUGUAGUAAACACUACUUAAGAAGGCCUUACAUUUCAUAAAAAGUUGGAGAUUUUUGUGGAGACUCAUAAAAUGCAUCCUUUAUAUCAGUGAAGUUUUUGCUUCUAGGUAUAUUAUACUCACAUCGAAACACUCCAGGGAUUUUGUUUUCAGCCUGCAUAUACCACGUAUAUUUAUUAUCUGGAUAGAUAAAUUAGACGUAUACAUUUAAAGGAGUUUGCAUCAGCUGCUGCUAGGAAGUUUUUCUUGUGUUAGUUAAGAUCCUGUGAAACAACCCUUGACAUUUCACUAGCUGCACAGUUUGUAAUAAAAUCCAUUUUAGCCUGAGGUUAAAUCAUGACUGUGGUCCUCACAUCAUGGUGGGGGAUCCUGGUGGCCAGAUUAAAGGAAACUCCACAUUCUCAUUUCUGACUUCCCUACAACCUUGUAUUAAGACCUUAAUUGAAAAACUUAUUGCCUCUCUCACCAAAAUAUUUCAAAUUUUAAUAGUUUCCCCCAAUGAAAUUACAAGUACUAUUUUACUUUUUUCAGUGCCCUUGGAAUUUCGAGGCUGGAUGGGGGGCUUCAAUGUCUGACUCAUUAAGUGUUCUAUAUACAAAGCCCUACAUGGUCCCUAGAGCAUAGCAGGCAUUCAGUGAAUGAAAUGAAUGAAUGAAAAGCUAGAGUCACAUUUUAGUGACCUAACUGUAUAUUUUCAGAGUAAUGUAGUGCUUAAAAAAGGACAAUGAUAACACGUUUCUACAAAGAGAUGCAUGACAGAUAACACUUCUCAAGAAGAAGGAAUUUAGCUUCUGUCAUUUGAUCUAGGUUUUCAAUUACAGAAGCAUUGAGAAUUUCCUGUGGCUGGAUAAGGGCGAAUCUUUAAGGCAAGUUGAAGACCCAGGCUGCCCAUGUGGACAUCAAUACUCCCACAGAGCACUCUUCAUGAAGAAAAGUGUGGGCUUGCUGUCUUUUCAUCAAAACUCGUAGAAUUUGGCUGACUGCCUGGUUUAUCCCAGGACAUUAGUCAGCCCACAAAUCCCGCAUUUGUUUAUUCAGUCCAGAGCAAGUGAAUACUGCCAUUUUCUCAUCUCCUUUGUUGGCAACACUUUGUUAACCUGAAUUGGGUUCUCAACAUAAAAUGAAGUGACUAAUCUUUUGGGGGGUUCCCCCUCCCAGGUUCUUGUAUGAGCAACUAAAUCUACACACCACAAAGCCCCAUGCUGUCAUUUUUUCUCAUCCUGCCCCUUUAUUUUGAUGAUUCCACAUUGUAGUUCAUGAAACCAAUACCUUCUAGAGUGUGGCUGAACUGGCGCCAGCAUUAAGAAAAGGAGUUUCCAAACUUUUUAGUUUUGUGAGAAAAUGUUAGAGGAAGAGGGAGGUUAGGUUGACUAUUUAUACUUAUGUAAUCUUCUGUGAAUUUGCAGUAGUUAUCACCUUGUACUCUCAAAAGUUUUCUAGCUCUGAGUAUGUGAAUCUGAAAGUGCAGGAAGUAGGAAUCUUAGCACAAAACAACCAGUUUGGAUUAUCACACAAUUAAUAUGGGACGGAGCUGGAGGAUGGACCUGAACAGAAUGUAUAUUCUUUAUCACUAGGUUAUUUAUCUAUCUACAGAUGUCUAGAAAGACCUGGGCUUUUUUAGCAAACGUUUGAGAAUCUAGGUUUCUAAGUUUCCAUUGACCAUGAAAGAGUGAUUAGUUUUAGAAGACAGUUGGGGGCAACAUUGUGCAAGUCAGAAGAGGGGAUGAAGAAAAUCAUAAAGCUAAACAUGUUUGCCAUAGGCCCAGGCUGUUUUUCAGCAUGUUUCACCUAGCAGCUUGGCAGAUAAUUCCCAGUGAUCAUUAGGUCUGUGGAAAUUCUGUUUGGUUUAUAAAGUUUUGGCCCUGACUAUGUGUACCACUGAUAACUUGUUUUUCUCUCUCUUCCCUUUUCCUCCAACUCGUAGCCAGAGCUACCUUCCAGAUGACUUCUUUCUACCACUUUCUUUCUUCCCAGUGUAAGAGAAUGCAAGUAUAUGCUGAUGUUUGGAGCAAGAACAUUCAAAAAUUUUCUUAUUAACAUAACUUCUAAUGGAAAUACAGUAUACUACUAUGGUGCAUACAAAGAAGAAAUAGCAACAUAUAUUUGUUUUAGACCUGAUUGCUGUAUUUUAUUCCUUAGGUCCUCCUUGAUGUCUUGUAGACCGUCACUAGCUAAUUGUUACAGCCAUCGAAGGAAAAAAUAAGGAUUUUUACUUAGGACAUACGUAACAGAAAAAGAGAUGGUUUAGCAAAAAAGCACAGGCUUUGCAAUAAGCAGCCUUAAAUUAAAAAAAAAAAAGUUAACUCAUAACUAACUGUGUGACCUGGGAUAAGUUACUGAC